rfam:Myotis davidii contig323233, whole genome shotgun sequence.
GGCAAUUCUCGGGUGACACACCCUGGGAUCGGGCUCCCUCCUCUCUGGUUCCGGGUGCAUCACCUGAGAAACGCC